GCGAGGGUGGCGGAAUUGGUAGACGCGCCAGACUAAGGAUCUGGUGUCUUCGGACGUGAGGGUUCAAGUCCCUCCUCUCGCA
rnacentral:tRNA from 1 species